GACUCAGGCCGGAUCAUUCUGAAGGCGCCCGAUCUCGUCUGAUCUCGGAAGCUAAGCAGGGUCGGGCCUGGUUAGUAUCUUGGAUGGGAGACCACCUGGGAAUCCCGGGUGCUCGAGGUC
ensembl:rRNA 5S_rRNA 5S ribosomal RNA